rnacentral:rRNA from 1 species
ACGCACGCUGGCGGCAUGCCUCACACAUGCCAGUCGCACGAGACCUUCGGGUCUAGUGGCGCACGGGUGCGUAACGCGUGGGAACCUGCCCUUAGGUUCGGAAUAACUCCCCGAAAGGGGUGCUAAUACCGGAUAAUGUCUUCGGACCAAAGAUUUAUCGCCUUUGGAUGGGCCCGCGUUGGAUUAGCUAGUUGGUAGGGUAAAAGCCUACCAAGGCGACGAUCCAUAGCUGGUCUGAGAGGAUGAUCAGCCACACUGGGACUGAGACACGGCCCAGACUCCUGCGGGAGGCAGCAGUGGGGAAUAUUGGACAAUGGGCGAAAGCCUGAUCCAGCAAUGCCGCGUGAGUGAUGAAGGCCUUAGGGUUGUAAAGCUCUUUUACCCGGGAUGAUAAUGACAGUACCGGGAGAAUAAGCUCCGGCUAACUCCGUG